rnacentral:rRNA from 1 species
UGGGGAAUAUUGCACAAUGGGCGCAAGCCUGAUGCAGCCAUGCCGCGUGUGUGAAGAAGGCCUUCGGGUUGUAAAGCACUUUCAGCGAGGAGGAAGGGUAGUGUGUUAAUAGCACAUUGCAUUGACGUUACUCGCAGAAGAAGCACCGGCUAACUCCGUGCCAGCAGCCGCGGUAAUACGGAGGGUGCAAGCGUUAAUCGGAGUUACUGGGCGUAAAGCGCACGCAGGCGGUUUGUUAAGUCAGAUGUGAAAUCCCCGCGCUUAACGUGGGAACUGCAUUUGAAACUGGCAAGCUAGAGUCUUGUAGAGGGGGGUAGAAUUCCAGGUGUAGCGGUGAAAUGCGUAGAGAUCUGGAGGAAUACCGGUGGCGAAGGCGGCCCCCUGGACAAAGACUGACGCUCAGGUGCGAAAGCGUGGGGAGCAAACA